rnacentral:misc_RNA from 1 species
AAAUUCGAACGUUCCAUAAUUCCAAUUCUCUAAAUUCCGAGUCACAAAGUUCUAACUUGGAGGUUCUAAAAUUUCAAAUCAUAAAUCCCAGAUUCCCACUCUUAGACUUCCAAAAUUCUUAACAAGUAUCAAGCAGUAAACAUCUUUUUUGAAUAACGUUAUUGAUAUUAAGAGAAAUAUAUAAUUUGUAAUUUAUUUAUAACUUUUGUAAAGUUAUAGCAGAAUUAUAACGAAAGUUGACAUACAUAAGAUCCUAAAGCUAGUUUCUAUCUUUCGCAAUCACAUAAGAACUGAGGCUUUUCUGCGUGGCACAGCAGUAAGCUUAAUAUUGGAAUGGCGUUAGUAAACAAUUUUCAAAGAUUUUCGAGAUCUGUUCUCGGUGUUGUUUCAAAUUAUUCAAAGUGUACAAGUAAUACAACAUUGCCAUUUCUGCAAACAAUAAGACGAACCUGCACUACUCAACCACUUUCCGAAAAACAAGAAGUAAGUAUAACAUUCGUGAAAGCAGAUGGAGAAAAAAUCAAAGCAAAAGGAAAAAUUGGAGAUACCAUUUUGGAUAUUGUAGUAAACAAUGAAAUUGAUUUGGAUGGCUAUGGUGCUUGUGAAGGAACAUUAACCUGCAGCACCUGUCAUUUAAUAUUUCCUAAAGAAAUUUAUGAUGCUCUUCCUGAUAAGCCAACAGAUGAAGAAUUAGAUAUGUUGGAUCUAGCAUAUGAAUUAACUGACACAAAAGCCCGACGAAAGGAGAAAGAUGCGGGAACCACAGAAGAUCCGAAAUUGUACCUCGAGGAGGCAGCCCUUGAAAGGCAGCUGCCAGAACUGGACCUGAGGAUGUUGGUCGAUUUACCACCAGGUUUGGACUACAACGAGUGGCUGGCCUCUCAUACCCUGGCACUAUUCGAUCACAUCAACCUCGUCUACGGAACGAUAUCCGAAUUUUGCACGAUGACGGGCUGUCCCGACAUGACUGGUCCUGGCUUAAGAACUUAUCUGUGGUUCGAUGAGAAGGGGAAGAAAACGAGAGUGGCAGCGCCACAAUAUAUAGAUUAUGUUAUGACUUUUACACAACGCACCGUUAGUGACGAAACUAUAUUUCCUACGAAGUAUGCAAAUGAAUUUCCUAGCUCGUUUGAAUCGAUAGUGCGUAAGAUCCUGCGGCUACUGUACCACGUGGUGGCACACAUUUACCACUGCCACUUCAGAGAGGUAGCACUCUUGGGGUUGCACGCUCACCUCAAUUGUGUGUUUGCCCACCUCACGCUCCUUAAUCAACGCUUCAACCUGAUCGAUCCGAAGGAAACGGAGAUCUUAGGGGAUUUAGAGGCAGCUCUCUUGGGUGAUUCGACAUCAUCAUCAGCGCCUUCACAGACCUUAGCCAUCCAGGAGACUCCGACCACAACCACCUAGAUCGCGAUGCACAGUAAACAAGAGGUUGCAGUUCCUGAGACUAGUCACGUUCUGGCUGUUCCCGGAUCAUUUCCAGUUUGCUUCUUUCAAUUGGAUAACUCCGUGCUUCACAAGGAAAAUACCAUGAAGGGCAUCAGUCACCGGCUCGUUACCAGAACGUUAGUUACCAGCUUCGACUUACUUUGUAGCCUUAGAAUGAGAAUUAAUCUAAGCAUCCGGUAGAUAUAUUUGGACCAGACAGGAUGCAACCACUUCCUUUGUCUAACCAAUGCAGAGUCAGUGAUAUGCGAAGACAGGUAUUUUACUGUUCAUUUU